GGAAUUUUCCGCAAUGGGCGAAAGCCUGACGGAGCAACGCCGCGUGAGGGAUGAAGGCCUCUGGGCUGUAAACCUCUUUUAUCAAGGAAGAAGAUCUGACGGUACUUGAUGAAUAAGCCACGGCUAAUUCCGUGCCAGCAGCCGCGGUAAUACGGGAGUGGCAAGCGUUAUCCGGAAUUAUUGGGCGUAAAGCGUCCGCAGGCGGUCUGUCAAGUCUGCUGUUAAAGCGUGGAGCUUAACUCCAUUUCGGCAGUGGAAACUGACAGACUAGAGUGUGGUAGGGGCAGAGGGAAUUCCCGGUGUAGCGGUGAAAUGCGUAGAUAUCGGGAAGAACACCAGUGGCGAAGGCGCUCUGCUGGGCCAUAACUGACGCUCAUGGACGAAGGCCAGGGGAGCGAAAGGGAUUAGAUACCCCAGUAGUC
rnacentral:rRNA from 1 species